ACACGACUACAUUAGAUACCCCCUGUAGUCCUAGCCGUAAACGAUACUCGCUAGGUGUCGGCCACGGUGCGACCGUUGUCGGUGCCGUAGGGAAGCCGUGAAGCGAGCCACCGUGGGAAGUACGGCCGCAAGGCUGAAACUUAAAGGAAUUGGCGGGGGAGCACAACAACGGGUGGAGCUUGCGGUUUAAUUGGACUCAACGCCGGGAAGCUCACCGGAUAAGACAGCGGAAUGAUUGCCGGGCUGAAGACCCUGCAUGACCAGCUG
rnacentral:rRNA from 1 species